CAGUAGCCACGGGAAUACAGAGGGUGCGAGCGUUAAUCGGAUUUACUGGGCGUAAAGCGUGCGUAGGCGGCUUCUUAAGUCGGAUGUGAAAUCCCUGAGCUUAACUUAGGAAUUGCAUUCGAUACUGGGAAGCUAGAGUAUGGGAGAGGAUGGUAGAAUUCCAGGUGUAGCGGUGAAAUGCGUAGAGAUCUGGAGGAAUACCGAUGGCGAAGGCAGCCAUCUGGCCUAAUACUGACGCUGAGGUACGAAAGCAUGGGGAGCAAACAGGAUUAGAUACUCCCGUAGUCCCUGUCUCUUAUAC
rnacentral:rRNA from 1 species